rnacentral:rRNA from 1 species
UYUUUGGGGUCUCUUUUUGAUGCAGUCAACRAUGAUCUCCAGCUUGCUGGGGGGAUUAGUGGCGAACGGGUGAGUAACACGRGRGUAACCUGCCCUUGACUCUGGGAUAAGCCUGGGAAWCUGGGUCUAAUACUGGAUACGACCUUCCAUCGCAUGGUGGUUGGUGGAAAGCUUUUGUGGUUUUGGAUGGACUCGCGGCCUAUCAGCUUGUUGGUGGGGUAAUGGCCUACCAAGGSGACGACGGGUAGCCGGCCUGAGAGGGUGGACGGCCACACUGGGACUGAGACACGGCCCAGACUCCUACGGGAGGCAGCAGUGGGGAAUAUUGCACAAUGGGCGCAAGCCUGAUGCAGCGACGCCGCGUGAGGGAUGAAGGCCUUCGGGUUGUAAACCUCUUUCAGUAGGGAAGAAGCGAAAGUGACGGUACCUGCAGAAGAAGCGCCGGCUAACUACGUGCCAGCAGCCGCGGUAAUACGUAGGGCGCAAGCGUUAUCCGGAAUUAUUGGGCGUAAAGAGCUCGUAGGCGGUUUGUCGCGUCUGCCGUGAAAGUCCGGGGCUUAACCCCGGAUCUGCGGUGGGUACGGGCAGACUUGAGUGAUGUAGGGGAGACUGGAAUUCCUGGUGUAGCGGUGAAAUGCGCAGAUAUCAGGAGGAACACCGAUGGCGAAGGCAGGUCUCUGGGCAUUAACUGACGCUGAGGAGCGAAAGCAUGGGGAGCGAACAGGAUUAGAUACCCUGGUAGUCCAUGCCGUAAACGUUGGGCACUAGGUGUGGGGGACAUUCCACGUUUUCCGCGCCGUACYKAMGCAUUAAGUGCCCCGCCUGGGGAGUACGGCCGCAAGGCUAAAACUYAAAGGAAUUGACGGUGGCCCGCACAAGCRGCGGAGCAUGCGGAUUAWUUCGAUGCAACGCGAARAACCUUWACCAAA